UCGUGUCGACGUCACGGAGACCGGCAUAGGCCGUAGCCCUACCACUCCAUCCACAACGGAGACCGGCGUAGGCCGUAGCCCUACCACUCCAUCCGUCGACGAACGACCGAGCCACGAGGACCGCAGACGACCCACGAAACGAGUCGAGUGCAUCCGCCCGUAGCAACCUGUAAGGUCGGUGUGAUUUAUUUUACCUUGAGAGGUGUACAAUGUCGACGCACGGAAUGACUGGCGGUCUGGCGAUCGGAGACGUUGGGUGGGCGGUGUGCUGCUGUUGGCUAUCCAGUGGGUUGCAUGGUUUGCCUAUCAUCGAGAUGAAUGUCUUGGAAAAACCGCUGCUCGUCUCGGCGGCGUGACGUGGAAGAGUUGGAGCAUUUAUAGAGAGAGUGUUAUUUCCGUUGUGUUCGGUGAGAGAAUCGUCUGUGUCGUGUGUCGGUUAGCGAGUUUGGUGCAACAUUUGUGCCUCGCAGAGAGUCUUAAAAAGACCGUGUCGCACUCGUUUCUCGUGGCGGCGACGGCCUCUCCGUUCGGAGCCGGAACGGAAUUUUGUUUUCGAAUCUCGACCGACGGGCACGGGAAAAGAGGUCGAAUUGGGUUAGA